GAGCCAAGGGCAACUUCUGGUUGGCAAUGGUGUUGUCACAAAUAAAGUGGUUGUGAAUCCGUUUUAUUUUAGGCCUUGCAGCUGAUAGAUUCAUUUCUAUUUUGUGGGCCAUACUCUGCAUGAUUCCAAGAAAAUCACUCCAUCAGAGACUCCACUGACAUCACCAACCACCAGAUAGGAGACUCCUGACGGGCAAACCUCAGGCUGAGUCACUAUCUGAAGACUUGGCUCCAGGUGGGGAAAAAAAAAAAAAAAAAAAGGUUGUUUAUGGUUGGGACCCCUAGUUGCCAUGGACACCAAGUUUCUCCCUCUCCAUUCACCUUCAGGAGAUGUGAGCUUCACAGAGUUUCCCAUCUGCCCAUGCCCAGGAGUGAAUUUAAUAGGUCCAGUCUUGGGUUAGGCAAAUCCAGCAUCCCUGAAGAGACACUUUUCCGGAGAGCUGGCCAAGCCGAAUUUAGGAGGUGUGGCUUUCAUUGCCGUAUCAUUUGGGCUUAGAGGUUUAUUGUUUUUUGGUUUAUUUCCUUAAUUAUUUAAUUAUUUCUUAUGGGUUUUCUCCAUCGUAGGUACAGUGUUCCUAUGCCCUCCUAAGCUCUUUAUUUGGAAAAGAAAAGGACCCUUAAAAAGAGAGCGCGAGACAGAGGAGAGGGGUUUAUAGUUAUUUCAGUUGGGAGGCCAGAACCACUGAAUAGAGAAAGGUGUUGAGGCGGUCAGCCGGGAAUGAGAUGAACCACAGGUCGACCAGCAGACGGUUUUUGAAUUGACAAAGCAAAGGGCUUUCUUGUUGCUCCAGGGCUAAAUGCUUUAGAAUCCUGGCAUCUCCACACUGAAAGAGACCUCAGACAUCACCUAGUAUAAGCACCCAGCCUGUAACAAGCUGCUGUCCUCUGUUCUUGGCAGUCAUCACCUGCUCUCUGCUUCCCUGGACCGUCAUUUCUAUAUUCCUAUAAACUCGGUUGAGAAAAAUCUUCUGAAGUUCUUAGAGUGAGCUGAAAUCAGCCUUCCUGUAACUUGCGCCUUGCCAGUCAGAGGUUUGUUCUAGGGAGGCCCAUGCAGAGAAAAAAGUACGAGGUCUAGUCCAAGUUAGCUUAGACCACACCGUCUGCAACACCCCUUCAAGUGUUCACAGCAGCUCUCACGUCCCCUUCUCUUCUGCGGAAGACCCCUCGUUCUUGUAACCACUCUUCAUUUUCAGUCAUUUUCAGACACUUUGCCCUCUUGGCCAUUGCUCUCUGGCUGCUUUCCGAGCUGUCACCUUCCUUGUAAGACACUGCGGCUGGGGCCUGGGUAGGAUGCUCCCAGGUUCUGGAGAGGUCCUGUCAUCAAGGACAAUUUUUUUUUUUUUUUUGGCUUUUGUCUUUUUAGGGCCACACCUGCAGCAUAUGAAGGUUCCCAGGGUAGGGGUCAAAUUGAAGCUGCAGCUGCUGGCCUACAACACAGCGACAGCAAUGCUGGAUCUGAACCACAUCUGUGACCUACACCACAGCUCACGGCAACACCGGAUCCUUAACCCACUGAGCGAGGCCGGGGAUCGAACCCACAACCUCAUGGUUCCUAGUUGGAUUCAUUUCCGCUGCGCCACGACAGGAACUCCCAAGGACAACUUUUGAGUAGCUGGCAAACACUAUGGUACAGAAUCUACAGUUGGAAAUCAUUUCUUUUUCCUUCAAAGAACACUUAGAAUCAACCUCCUAAGAUGCUAUCAUUGAUCAUAAAAGAAAGUCUUUGGAGCUGUGACAAUAGAUGGUUUAGUCUCUAACCUCAAGGAGAUUAAAUGGAAUAAUCUACAAAAAGUUAAUUGGCCCAGCUGUUUUGGCACUAAGCAACUUUGGAUGAAUUCUACUUAUGCUAAAAAAAAUUAAAAUUAAAAAAAAAGGAUAGUCAUAGAUCAUUGGAGUUGGAAGGAACCUCAGAAAGCCUGAAUUGAUGUCCCUUGGUUUAGAGAUGUGCCAGCUGAGUUCCAGAAUUUUUAAUUCAUCCAUCUAACCAUUCAUCCUUCCAUCUAUCCACUCAGCAAGGUGGAUAUCUGGAGGGAGUCCAAGGUGAGCGGCAAUGCCAGAUAAGGUAUGGGGAGUAACUUCGUUGUCGUAUGGGAAUAACUUUGUUGUCUUACGGAUAAAGAGUUCUUGUUAAGUGACCUGGCCAAGGUCAUCCUAAUCCAGUUGGCUGGCACCAGAGCCAGGACCAGGAAUCAGGUCUUCUGACAUCUGGCCUCAGGCUUUUCCCAAGGCACAGCUAUUCCUGGUAAAUAACUAGACAGUAGGUGAUAGAGCAGGUUCUCUAUUUCAGGACACUCUGUCCUGAUAGAAUCCUAUUUAGACGUUUCAGACGACACGUUGAAUUGAUGAACGUGCUGGCUACACGCAAGUAAUCCUUCACCACCAAAAAGCACCCUGCAAAAGCUAGAGGCAAAAACCAUUCCUGUCUGUCUUCCAGAAGCAUCGCCAAUCCCUCCUUAGCUCCUUCAUUCAUGACUUCCCAUUGCCAGCAGUUUACCAAAAUUCUCUCCAGGAUCCACCAGAGAGCAAAUCCAAAUUGCUUUCCUUAGCUGUCCUGGAUGUUACUGACUUUCCUGAAACAUCCUCCCCUCUCGGUUCCCAGAUGAUCCUCUCGCUACCGCCUCCUUGCUAACGAUCCCUUGUCAGUCCCUGAGCCAGGAACAUUUUCAGGACCUUGCACAUUAUAGCUUCUGGAUAAAUACAUUUGUUGAGUGUUUGGAUGGAUGCAUGGAUGGACGCACGGAUGAGUAGAUGGCUAGGUGAACGAAUGACAAAUUCCGGAGCCCAGUUUUCCCCUCUAUAAACCAAGGGAUAUUAAUUCAAGUUUCCUAAGGUUCUUCAUUCCUCAUCUUUUGCUUUAAUGUCUCUCCUUUGAAGACUCAUUUAUAGAACCUCUGCUAUCAUCUCUAUGUGUGACGUUUCCAAAUCCACAUCCUCACCUCGACAAGUGCCCCUUGUUCCACUAGGCUCUCCUUUUGUUGCUUCAAGUUCAACAGGUCUCAAAUCACGUCACCCUUGCCCGAUGCCCACUCUCCUCCGUGCCAAACCUCCAUCUCCCUUCUACAGCCCUAAUCCUCAGCCUGACCCAUUCUUAGUCUGUCAGGCUCAGAACACUAAGAUAAAAUUCAGUUUGCCUCUCCUAUUCAAUAAAUGAAUAACCUGCAGAAAGUCAUUAGCGAUUCCUUUCUCAGAUCAGUUUAAUUUUAUCCAUCCCCUAUCCAUGAAUCUAUCCUUCUUCCUUUGAGAAUAUUCCAGGUUCCUCUGGAUAACUAGGUCAUGUGUCAAAGAAGCCAGAUCUCUGUCUGCAAGCUCAGACUACUGUCACAUCUCAGCUCGAGACACUGGCAUACGCAUCCCUUGGGCACGCCCAGCCCGAGGGAUCCCGGCCUCUCAUAGAUGCCCCCCCUCCCCUUCUCUUCAUCCCUGAGUUUCAACCCUGCAAGCAAGGCCAAGAGCAUAUAUGCCUCCCCACCAGGAAGCCUUGCUGGAGAACAAAUGGCCCUCUCACUCCUCUGGGAGGGGAGCCUCUCCUGGGGCACGAUGAGCCAUAACCUGAAAUCAGCCCUUAUUUUAAAACAGGCAUCUGCGAGUCUGGGGGUCCCAGAGCUGAGCAGUGAUCCUUCUGGCACAGCCUCCCCGUCUCCUUCACCUCACUCCCCCAAAUGCCAGGGCCAAGCCCUCCUCUGUGAUGCUCUUCAAAGACAGGGAAGGAGGGGGUGCUAUGUGUUGGUCAAACAUCUCUAACCUCCCCAAGAGCAUGGAUGCCAAUGUCCAGGAGCAACCCACUUUGGGGCAGUGUUGGGAGACAUGGAACUGCCAGGAUCCAGGCAUGACCUCCCAGGUACCCAAGUAAAGGUAUAUUCAGGGAGUUCCACUGUGGCUCAGUGGUAAUGAAUCCAACUAGUAUCCAUGAGAACAGGGGUUCCAUUCCUGGCCUUGCUCAUGGGUUAAGGAUCUGGCUUUGCCAUGAGCUGUGGUGUAGGUCGCAGAUGUGGCUCAAUCCACAUUGCUAUGGCUGGGGUGUAGGCCAGCAGCUGCAGCUCCGAUUUGACCCCUGGCCUGGGUGCUUCCUUAUGCCACGAGUGUGGCCAAAAUAAGACAGAAAAAAAAAGAUACUAAAGAUAUUUUCACUCUGACCCCAGUGACACCUGCAUCCAGAUUCCUAGACACACAGAAAACUGGAGCUUCAAGGGCCCUCAGGGACCAACCAGUGUAAUCCCCCCUUGUCUAGACGGGAAGAUCAAGGCCCAGUUGCUUCCCAAGGUCACUCAGUGAGGCAGAGACAGAGCCGGAACUAGACGGCAGAGGCCAGUCCGAUGGGCAGGAGAGUGACAGCAAGCCACCCUCUCACCGAGAUAACCCCUAUGGCAGGGGUUCCCUGUCUCUCAAACUUUGAGUAAGAUAGGUCCUGCCAGCAGAGCCAGGUGGACAGUGUGAGCCCACAAUGGUGUAGAGAUGUGGGAUGGGGGUCUGAGCAGGGCAGGAAGCACGUCCAGUGAGAGGCAGCCUAUGCUCAGCCUGGGAGCCUGGCACAACAGGAGAGGCAGGGAACAACCCAGCAGGGACGUGAACUUCACGUUCCCCACCGGGGGCCUGAGCAUCCGGUGAGCCAGCUGAUUUUGCAGAAGGGCCUCCUUCCCCGCCUCUCUGCCUGCUCCCAAGGAUGGCCUGGCCAGGAGGCAGCCCUUCCACCCACAGUCCCCACACCUGCCAGGUACCCAGGCUCCCUGCCUGCUCACCUCACCCCCUCUGGUCCAGACGUGCUCAGGAUGCAGGCUCUCUGCCAAGGGCCCCAGAGGUCCAGACUCUCCUGGAUCCACGUCCAGGGAUGGAGGCUCCGAGGGUACUGAAAAAUAAAGAAAUGCCAAACAAGGUUACCAAAAAGUGAGGCGUGUUGAAAACAUUUCCUGUGAACAAAUUAACACUCUUUACACACACACACACACAGGCUCACACCAAACAUAAUGCAACAUAAUCGUGCUAUUCACAAAAUAAUUGCGGAAAUUAUGUAAACAGUCAGAGGCCCCCUUGGCAACGUGGCCCAGCAGUGAACACGGAUUUAAAGCUGCCUGAUGACAGUCUCUUCAGCAGAUCUCUGUGACUGCAUGAGAAACCUCCCUUGAAGGUAAGUGACAUCUCAGGUCGAGAGAGGGCCCUGUCACAGCCUCACUCCCUCACUGUUCCACCCUGAGGUGUGCAGCUCGAGAGAGCCCACCUGAAGGUGAACCGGAGCCCCUCAGGCACUGGGGCCUUCCUCACCCCCCAACAUCCACACCCAGCCCCAAGCCUGUACCUCAGGGAGAGAAGCCAGGCUGCCCCCGGGGACAGCACAGGAGCCUGGGCUGCCGGUGGGCAGCCAGGCCUGGCUGAAUGAGGCCUUUUCAUGACACACCACCCAGGAGGGGGAGGUGAUCCCUGCCCAGCCACACAGAGCCCUCUCAACUCAGGCAGCACAGCGCACCGUUCACACAGCUCAGGAAACAAAAUAAAUAUAUUCUCCCCUAAAGACCCCACAAUGGGGCUUUUUCAUGGCAGAGAAUGAGAAACAGCCCCUUCUCUCCACCCGGCCAAGGGGCUUCUGGUCCCUAGAGACUUUCCUGUCCCUUCCCAGAUUCAGGGUCUUCCUGGCCGCCUGCCUGCCCACUUUCUGGUUAAGACCUUAUAUGGACAAUGAGCCUACAGGCAGGUACUGGGCACAGUCUGCAAGCAGCAAGGAAGCGAAACAGGGUAGAGAGGAACCUAAUAUUUGCUGGUUUUGUCCUAUGCGUCAGGCAGGGAAGGUGAGGACACUUCUUCGUGGAUUAAAGUCAUCUGCAGAUUAGAUAGCACAGGGCUGGUGUUCCCUUGGCGGCUCAGGGGUUAACAAACCCCCCUAGGAUCUAUGAGAUGCCGGUUCCAUCCCUGGCCUCGCUCAGUGGGUUAAGGAUCCAGUGUUGCCAUGAGCUCUGGUGUAGGUCACAGAUGCAGCUGGGAUCUGGUGUUGCUGUGGCUGUGGUGUAGGCCAGCAGCUGCAGCUCUGAUUCGACUCCUAGCCUGGGAACUUCCAUAUGCCUCAGGUGCAGCCC
rnacentral:lncRNA from 1 species